CACACAGAGUAAAUCAAUGGGAAAAAAGAUUGAGAACAUCUGUUGAGAUCGUCCUAACCGGUCAUCUCUGACCUGAACCUGCUCAGACGUGUGAUAACUCCUCCUGAGAUCCAGUCAGAUUCACCAAUAUUCUUACAUUAAAACUGUAUUAAAAUAUAUAUGCUUCUAAGGACAACAAGGACUAUUCAAUCCCCCUCUAUGAGCAGAUACCACAACCAGAGUGGAGUCAAUAUUCUCUGCAGGAUAAAACUUCUCGACAAACGUGACCUUUCAGAAAUCACAGGCGACGUUAAUCAAAGUCAGAUAAUGUUGAAUUCUUCACGCUUCAUAGGGUAGGACCCAGUUUCCUCAUUCAGCCCUGGAAGCCACUUGAGAGGUAGAUGGUUUCUGAUAUUGUAUGCACUGAAAUAUUCAACAGAUUAUACAACUAAACUCCAGCACCUUACCAACAGCUGCCCUCCUGGGAGACAGGUCCGUGUCCACUGACCCCGACAGUGAGGCCGACACUGAAUCACACCCGAGGACUCUCUACCUUAUUGCCUGCGGGUCUUCAGAGCCAGCAGUGACCUGACCGUCUCAGCUCUGUCUCCCCCUUCUUGGUCCACAUCGCUAACAAUCUGUGAACAGCCCCUGGGAAGCUCUAGGAGGAGGCUAUUUUAAACUAUUUUAGUAAAUAUACUGACUUGCAAAGUGAACAAUUAGCAGUAACAGAUCUGAGACUUAUUAAUGUUAUGUUUACAAUCAGACUCUUUCCAGCAGGGCACAAUCUGAGCUUUAGACUCGUCACAAGGCCCCCGCUGCAGCUUAAAGGCACACACCUUCUGAAGUUCCGUGGUACUAAAACACUAAUCCUCAGAGUGGUGCUACUGAGGGUAAGCCCACACGGUCUAAAAAUCCCACUGUGUGUGGUCAACAAAGAACACCCCACUCCACACCUACAACUGCAAGAUUCUAAGAAGGGGCCAGGAAGCUUGCUAAUGGCAAAAGGGGGAGCUGUGCUGGUGACCCCAGACUUGUGCACCCAGAGCUCCUUCUGUUCCUCUAAUGAGCGAUCCUUUACCAAACUUGGCUCAUGCAAAUCCUUCUUGUGUGCUUUAUUAAGAACAAAUGACGACCUGUUCACACAUAAGCACACGGAGGUUGAGGUCUCCCUGAUGCCUCAAAGCCUCUUAGUUUUCCUGGAAAGUCUUUGGUCAGAGUUCAGCCUCCUAUUCUACAAGACUAAGCAUGAAUUUUUACACAUUCAGUGAAAACACGAAGACCACUAAACACAGGCCAUGUGCCCAAACUCCAUGAUGUGUAAUUAAAUUUUAACUGGAGUCCUGAACUGAAUGAAUCUGAGGGAAACAUUUCAUUCUGAACACUUGUCUCUUCAAAGAAAUCUGUGAGGGGUGGGGAGGGGUACUGGUGCAUGUCCGCGUGCAUAUAUGCACACACGCCUGAACCAAGAUCUUCAUGCUUGUGCAUCAGGCCCUUACCAGCUGGACUGUCUUCUCCUCCCAUUUUCAAGGAGCUCUUGUAUCUAAACGAUGAGCACCUCUACUUUGGGAUCUCCACAGACAUCUACACUAGAUGCAUAAGCAACCUUGGCAGUGGUAGACAAGGCCCCGUGAAGAAAGGGCAGCUUAGCAGAGGGGUUGCUGUGACUGGCACAAAAGGGACAAUGUUGUGAUUGGUGACAUGUGUGUGCCAUGCCAGGUUCUCUGUGAUUGACGCAGAUGCACCCCACCCCCGGCAUUCUGCUGACAGAACCGGCUGCAAGGCGCCCUCUGCCCUGUGCUGCCUCCCCUAGGAAUGCUCUCUCAGGCCAGCUGGAAAGCGUCUGAAGGUGGAGGACACGCAGGGAAGAAGAAAGCAGUGGAGAAGAACCAGAUCUGUUCUCAGAAGA